GAUGAACGCUAGCGACAGGCUUAACACAUGCAAGUCGAGGGGCAGCAGGGGAGUAGCAAUACUCCCGCUGGCGACCGGCGCACGGGUGAGUAACACGUAUGCAACCUGCCCUUGUCAGGGGGAUAAGCGGAAGAAAUUCCGUCUAAUACCGCAUAACGCUGCGGGGAGACAUCUCCCUGCAGCCAAAGAUUUAUCGGACAAGGAUGGGCAUGCGGCGCAUUAGCUUGUUGGCGGGGUAACGGCCCACCAAGGCGACGAUGCGUAGGGGUUCUGAGAGGAAGGUCCCCCACACUGGUACUGAGACACGGACCAGACUCCUACGGGAGGCAGCAGUGAGGAAUAUUGGUCAAUGGCCGGGAGGCUGAACCAGCCAAGUCGCGUGAGGGAAGACGGUCCUAUGGAUUGUAAACCUCUUUUGUCAGGGAGCAAAAACUGCCACGCGUGGCAGGAUGAGAGUACCUGAAGAAAAAGCAUCGGCUAACUCCGUGCCAGCAGCCGCGGUAAUACGGAGGAUGCGAGCGUUAUCCGGAUUUAUUGGGUUUAAAGGGUGCGUAGGCGGACAGUUAAGUCAGCGGUAAAAUUGAGAGGCUCAACCUCUUCCCGCCGUUGAAACUGAUUGUCUUGAGUGGGCGAGAAGUAUGCGGAACGCGUGGUGUAGCGGUGAAAUGCAUAGAUAUCACGCAGAACUCCGAUUGCGAAGGCAGCAUACCGGCGCCCAACUGACGCUGAAGCACGAAAGCGUGGGUAUCGAACAGGAUUAGAUACCCUGGUAGUCCACGCAGUAAACGAUGAAUACUAAUUGUUCGGGUCGAGUGAGAUCUGAGUGAUACAGCGAAAGCGUUAAGUAUUCCACCUGGGGAGUACGCCGGCAACGGUGAAACUCAAAGGAAUUGACGGGGGCCCGCACAAGCGGAGGAACAUGUGGUUUAAUUCGAUGAUACGCGAGGAACCUUACCCGGGCUCAAACGACACAGGAAUGAUCUGAGAAAUCAGGCAGUCCUUCGGGACCUGUGUCGAGGUGCUGCAUGGUUGUCGUCAGCUCGUGCCGUGAGGUGUCGGCUUAAGUGCCAUAACGAGCGCAACCCCCAUCGACAGUUGCCAGCAGGUCAAGCUGGGCACUCUGUCGAGACUGCCGGCGCAAGCUGUGAGGAAGGCGGGGAUGACGUCAAAUCAGCACGGCCCUUACGUCCGGGGCGACACACGUGUUACAAUGGCAGGUACAGCGGGAAGCCACCUGGCGACAGGGAGCGGAACCCGAAAGCCUGUCUCAGUUCGGAUUGGAGUCUGCAACUCGACUCCAUGAAGCUGGAUUCGCUAGUAAUCGUGCAUCAGCCACGGCGCGGUGAAUACGUUCCCGGGCCU
rnacentral:rRNA from 1 species